UGCGCAUCAUGUUGCCUUGUCGGCCUUCAAACUCGAAACAUGAGCUCUCCGGCAAGUAGCCGUGGGCACGGCAUGACGGUGUAAACGUUUCUGAUGGUGGAGCGAAUUAUUAGCGCAUUACGACGCAUCCUCUACUCACCGACACGCCCUGUUGGGCAUUGUUGUUAAACUCGGACUAGACCGGCCGGUUCGACUAGUCGAACCACAAAUUGGCCAUUCAUCCUAGCCGAGUUCUUCUAAAAACCCCUCUGUUUAACACUCGGUCAAACCUAGUCAAAAAUUGGGUUGAACCGUGAACCAUUAAAACUGGCAAGAAUCGGUGUUUUUUUUUUUAAAUUUGUCUUUUGUUGACUUUUCAGGCUUUCACGAGUUAUCCCAAGCCAAAUUCCUAAUUUGACACCCCGGACUUCAUUUCACUCUAGCCCUAAAUUUCUAAAAUCUCUACUGCUUUGUUUCUAUCUUCUUGCCGCCGCCGAUCUUUGUCGCCAUUGCCGACGGCACAUCCGAAAUUCCCAAGUAAGUUCCUACUAGAGAGUACAAGCGCUAUACAGCAAUUUCCAGUCUCCUCUCCUAUGCUUUGUCCAAAGAGUCCAAACCUAACUCCCUAUAUAUUCUGAAUCAAUUCCUGCUAUCUUCUCCGGUUCUCCAUCCGAUCCUCGGCAGAGUUGCAGAAGUUGGGAAGGUUGGUUGAAAAAAAGGGUUGGAGUGAUAUUUGUUUAAUCAAGACGGAAGUAGACUGCUAAGCCAGUUCAAAGGUUGAUUAACCAUGUAGAAGACUCAAUUGAUUGACCAUGCAACUGAAGAUGUCAUCAAAUUCUGUAAAUGUAGCGAGAAUGUGUUAAACUGACUUUUACUUGUUUGCUUUCUCUUAUCUUUAUGUAUCAUAGCUGAAUACAUAUCAAUCUAAGUAUAGCUUAGUAUGUACUACAAAGUCUUCCUCAAAAUUGCUUAAAAAUCUUUGGAAGCAAAUUAAGGAUGUUCAAAUUAAACAUGUGCAAUUUGGUGAAUUGGAUAUGGAUUUGGAUCA